CCUACGGGAGGCAGCAGUGGGGAAUAUUGCACAAUGGGGGGAACCCUGAUGCAGCGACGCCGCGUGAGUGAAGAAGUAUUUCGGUAUGUAAAGCUCUGUCAGCAGGGAAGAAGAAAGACGGAACCUGACCAAGAAGCCCCGGCUAAAUACGUGCCAGCAGCCGCGGUAUGACGUAGGGGGCAAGCGUUACCCGGAUUUACUGGGUGUAAAGGGAGAGUAGACGGCAAGGUAAGCGAUAUGUGAAAGCCUUAGGCUUAACCUCAGGAUGGCAUAACGAACUAUCUAGCUAGAGUACAGGAGAGGAAAGCGGAAUUCCUAGUGUAGCGGUGAAAUGCGUAGAUAUUAGGAAGAACACCAGUGGCGAAGGCGGCUUACUGGACUGAAACUGACGCUGAGGCUCGAAAGCGUGGGGAGCGAACAGGAUUAGAUACCCCUGUAGUC
rnacentral:rRNA from 1 species